UACGGGGGGUGCGAGCGUUGUCCGGAAUCACUGGGCGUAAAGGGCGCGUAGGUGGUUUGAUAAGGGUGUGGUGAAAGUCCGGGGCUCAACCCCGGAUCUGCCGUGCCGACUGUCAAACUCGAGGACUGUAGAGGCAGACGGAAUUCCGGGUGUAGCGGUGGAAUGCGUAGAGAUCCGGAGGAAGACCGGUGGCGAAGGCGGUCUGCUGGGCAGUUUCUGACACUGAGGCGCGACAGCGUGGGAGCAACAGG
rnacentral:rRNA from 1 species